GGAGGCCAGGCACCCAGUGCACAGGCCAGUGCACAGAGCGGAGACCCUGGGAGCUGCACAAGGCAGCUCAGGUCUGCAACCCCUGGUGUGAAGCCAGGAACUCAGUGCUGUCACAACCCAAAGUUGUGAUUUUUGUUUGUGUGUGCGCUUCGGCACCGCUAAAUUAUUUUCCCGCUAUUUGUCGCUUUCUUUGCAUGGUAGAGUUCUCUGCUGCGAGAGAGAACUCUGGUGCAAUGGGGGAUUUCCUGCCAAAUUACAGCUUCUUUGCAGGGUGCAUUUCUUUUGCAUACGAGUGAUACACGCUGCAAAGGAGUUCCUGCCAUUUGUAUUCGGAUUCGCGCCAUAUUAUUGGCCAAUUCCAAAUGUAGGCACACGUGGCGGCUAGCGAUUGGCUUGCUAGCCAUAGAAAAGGCUUGGGUAGUUUCCGCCCAAGCCGGAGGAGGGAGGAAAAGAGAGAGACUUCGUGUGAAGCGCUGCGGACCCUCAUGGACCCAACGCGCCUCCCCUAAGCAGGCAAUAGAGGCAGUAGAACCGAACCUAUGGGGCUUUCGCUUCUAGCCUCUCCCCGUCGCCGAUCGCAAUCCCAGACGUAUCCCUUUCCUGUAACUUCGGACCAGCAGAGCCUAAGCAACUCCGGGGAACCUUUCGAACCCCAAACCGAACCCGCGGAGCCUGAACAGCUCCGUGGGAGCAAUCGAAUUUGUCAUGUUCCUCUAGCAAGGAUCUAAGCGGGAGCUGUGCCUGGAAACCUGUCCAGCCUACACCAAUACCAUCUUUGGGUAUCAACUGAUCAUCAACCCCUUGCUUCGGGCUGCCUGAAGGGGUGCAAUCUUUCAGCCUUUAUCUGCAGAACAUAGCAAGAUAUGAUAUUGUAUAUUUGUAUAUGUUUAUGAAUAUCAAUUUCCUUUAAAUUCUGUAUAUAUUAAUACAUCUGUAUAUGAUUAAG